rnacentral:tRNA from 1 species
GGGCCUAUAGCUCAGCUGGGAGAGCGCCUGCAUGGCAUGCAGGAGGUCAUCGGUUCGAUCCCGAUUAGGUCCACCA